UUAAAGCGGACACCAGUGCUUACCUGCAACGUAGCCACUGCUCCGAUUACCUAUGAAAUAUAAUCAACUGCAAGAUAGUUUGACAAGGUCCUUGACAUGUCUAGAACACUUUGUUUUGUUGUGGCUUUGUGCUUUUGCCUAAUGUGUGAUGGGAUGACACAAUGUGAUAUAUGUCAUAGGGUCCGUCGCACAAUGAGCGAGCUAGAGAAACUGAAAUACCAGGGAAAAGAACUAGAAAGAUGUUCAGAGUCAAUGGCUGAGAAGAAUAUUUCAGUGAUUCCCCACCUCGAAAAGCAAAACGAUCGUAUAAUAAAAUUGACAUUUGACCUGGCAUCAAACCUCUUCCAAAAAAACGUGACCAAUUCCAAAUGGGACACUAAAGUGUUGCAGGCUGUGCUGGAACUUCUUCGCCCGGAGCACACUGGCAUUUCUGAUCCAAGUCCACCCAUAGACCUUAUUAAGGGGGUCCAU